rnacentral:rRNA from 1 species
GACGAACGCUGGCGGCGUGCUUAACACGUGCAAGUCGAACGAUGAACCCGGAGCUUGCUCCGGUGGAUUAGUGGCGAACGGGUGAGUAACACGUGAGUAACCUGCCCUUGACUCUGGGAUAGCUGCGGGAAACUGUAGCUAAUACCGGAUACGACCCUCGGCGGCAUCGCCAGGGGGUGGAAAGAAUUUCGGUCAAGGAUGGACUCGCGGCCUAUCAGCUAGUUGGUGAGGUAACGGCUCACCAAGGCGACGACGGGUAGCCGGCCUGAGAGGGUGAACGGCCGCACUGGGACGGAGACACGGCCCAGACGCCCGCGGGAGGCGGCAGUGGGGAAUAUGGGACAAUCGGCGGGAGCCUGAUGCAGCAGCGCCGCGUGGGGGAUGACGGCAUUCGGGUUGUAAACCUCGUUUAGUAGGGAAGAAGCGAAAGUGACGGGACCUGCAGAAAAAGCACCGGCUAACUACGUGCCAGCAGCCGCAGUAA